GUGUCAGCAGCCGCGGUAAUACGUAGGGUGCGAGCGUUAAUCGGAAUUACUGGGCGUAAAGCGUGCGCAGGCGGUGAUGUAAGACAGAUGUGAAAUCCCCGGGCUCAACCUGGGAACUGCAUUUGUGACUGCAUCGCUGGAGUGCGGCAGAGGGGGAUGGAAUUCCGCGUGUAGCAGUGAAAUGCGUAGAUAUGCGGAGGAACACCGAUGGCGAAGGCAAUCCCCUGGGCCUGCACUGACGCUCAUGCACGAAAGCGUGGGGAGCAAACAGGAUUAGAAACCCGGGUAGUCC
rnacentral:rRNA from 1 species